rnacentral:lncRNA from 1 species
ACAGAUGACACUAAUAAUGACAGGAUUCAUGGAUGGCUGCUGCUGAGUAGUGAGUGUUUAAAUAAAUAUUUCAAACUUUAUUUAAAAACUUAGUUGUCACAACUCUGUAAUAACGCUUACAUGAGUGUUUGGACAAUCAUAACAAUACCCAAAAUUUUAAAUACUUUAUAUUCUUUCUAUUUCAAAUAAUAAAUGUUUUAGAUUUUUUACAUAUUAAUCAAACAUAUUAAAUUAAAUUUUUAAUAUUAAAUACAAAUUUUGUAGUUAUAUACUCCAUCCG